CCCAAGUCGGUUCGGCAAAUCAGUUUGGCAGAGACCAGUCACGGCCCUGGUUGAUUUUUGAAUUUUUGAAUUGACUUUGAAAUCCUAGAAAAUGCCGAUCAUCGAUGGAGAACUAAUUGGUGAAGGGGCGGUUGACACAUUUGACGUUCCGGAUGUUGCGUUGGGCAUUUACAUCGAGAACUGCAUCCGGAAGAACGUGACCCAAUACGGCGAUUGCAAUUGGCUGAUGGACGUCUCCACAGGUAAAUCGAUGAAGUACAGUCAGCUGUUGACGGGCAUUAAAGCGGUGGCGUCUGCGUUACGUAAGAGAGGCCUGGCCACGGGCGAUAAUUUGGUCGCCAUCAGCGGCAACCACAUCGAAUUGCCUUUGCUGUCCAUGGCCGUCUGGAGAGCCGGCGGCACCCAGUCAUGCCUCAGCGUCAACCUUCCACAAGAUGUGAUGGAAUUGCGCAUUCGUGAGAUGGGCAGCAAGUACGUGGUGACCGAUUACGCCAGAGCUGGCCGCAUAGUUGAUGUUGUCCAACGACUGGACUUUGUCCGAGAAAUCUUUUUGAUUGGAGAUCAACCGGUGGCCGGUUGCACUUUGUUGACUGAAUUGCUGGACGAUCCUGGCGAUGAAUAUCCCGAGAACCUGGACAGUGUCGAUGUGAACUCGACGGCCUGGUUGGCGUACACGAGCGGGACCACGGGAGCGGCCAAGUGUAUCGUCCUGUCCCACCGGUCCAUCAUCGGAUGGUUUAUGCGCUACAAUCCGUCGGGUAAUUUGAGCGGGACGAAAUUUCUGUUUGUCAACAACAUGAACAACACGGGCGGGUUGUCGACGGCCGUUGGCUCCUCCCUCUGCCAUUUCGACCUUUACUGCAUGUCGGAUUUCAGCGAAGAGAAACUCUUGGCCGCCAUCGAUCGAGUCAAGCCCCGUGGCGUCAGUUUGUUCCCGUCUCACAUCGCCUGGCUGUGCAAGUACCCGGAACUGGGCCGUUUCGACCUGUCGAGCGUUUUUAGCCUUUCGGUGGUCGGAUCGCUGAUGAAUCCCAUCUACGAGCGCCAAAUCUUCCAGCGGAUGCCUCACCUUUUAUUCUUGAACAACGUGUACGGGAUGAGCGAGACGGGACUCAUUUGCCAGAACCGGCCGCCCAAUCCGGCCGAUUACGCCGGAUUGGAUAGGGACCAAGUCAUUGCCAAAUCCAUCGCAGAUCACGUUUUCGGUUCGGUUGGAUUUAUCAAUCCCAUGUGCAAACUCAAGGUGAUUGAUAAUGACACCGGAGUUAAACUGGGUGCCAAUCAAGUGGGCGAGAUUUGCGUCAAAUCGCCUUUCAUGUUGACCGAGUACCUCAACAUACCGGAAGAAACUGCCAAUUUUCUGAGAAACGGAUGGGCCCACACUGGAGAUAAAGGCUACUACGACGAUAAGGAGCGCGUGUUUGUUAUCGGCCGAUACAAGGAACUCAUCAAAUAUCGAAACAUCAACAUUUUGCCGACCAACGUCGAGAAGCACAUGAUGACUCAUCCGGACAUCGAGGACGUGGCCGUUGUCGGUUCACCUCACGAGGAAGACGGUGAAAGGCCCUUAGCCUUUGUCGUUUUGUCUGAGAACACCAAAGUCACGGCCGAGGAGUUGAUUUCUUUUACAAACGGCAAAGUGAUGGAAGAAGAGAAAUUGCGUGGCGGGAUCCGAUUCAUCGAGAAAAUCCCACGAAACGAUUCAGGCAAAAUAAUCCGUCCAGCACUCAUGAAAAUCAGUUGUUAAUUUAAAUGCCCUCACCAAUUUUCUUUCCACUUUUAUCUUGUAUUUCCCUUUCCAACACUCGUUCAAAAUUUUUGAUUUCCUAGUUUAGUAGCUCAGAUACCCAGUCAUGGUGUUAAUCCUAGGAUUAAGAAAUUUAAUAAAAAUGGAAACACCGAUUUGAUGCACUAGCGUUUCAGGCACAAAAUGCUCGUCAUGUCGACGGUUUAACUUUACACUUAAUUUCUAGAUCAGAUUUUUCGGUUGAAGCACUUAAUUUAAUUACCGACAUCACAAUUUCUGUAAUUUCUGAUUUUUGUUUCCAGGUUUUGCAUUCUAUGAGUUUACGAAUGCCAUCAAGAAGCAGUCGGAUUCAUUAAUGUACUGUGUUGUGUGUUCAUCCAAUCUUAAAAUUUUGUGCAAUUGUCGCUCUUUUCUAUAGGUUUUUUUUUCUUGAUUGACGAAGUUCUAAUCUGACUUCUGAUCAAAGACUUUUGGGGAAAUCAGGAUAUUUCGAAAACGAGAGCCACUUGAAAUUAAAAUCCUAACUACCAACUAUGUCGAUCAGAUUUCAUGUCUUUAUUACCUGCCCCAAAAAAUGUAUUUGUGCACCAGACAUGACCUUUAAGCAUAAUUUUUCACGCGACACUCAGAAGCAAUCCUAAAAGUUUAAUGUAAAUAUUUCUAUAUUGUAUAUUUUAGAAAAUCUUAUCUGGAUAAAGAUGUCUAAAAGACUGAGAGACUGCUUUUUCGCAGAUGUUUUCAUCCGGAUGAUGGAGGGGGAUUCUCAGCCAUGGUUUGCGCGAUCCAG